rnacentral:rRNA from 1 species
GAUGAACGCUGGCGGCGUGCCUAGUACAUGCAAGUCGAGCGAACGGACGAGAAGCUUGCUUCUCUGAUGUUAGCGGCGGACGGGUGAGUAACACGUGGAUAACCUACCUAUAAGACUGGGAUAACUUCGGGAAACCGGAGCUAAUACCGGAUAAUAUUUUGAACUGCAUGGUUCAAAAGUGAAAGACGGUCUUGCUGUCACUUAUAGAUGGAUCCGCGCUGCAUUAGCUAGUUGGUAAGGUAACGGCUUACCAAGGCAACGAUGCAUAGCCGACCUGAGAGGGUGAUCGGCCACACUGGAACUGAGACACGGUCCAGACUCCUACGGGAGGCAGCAGUAGGGAAUCUUCCGCAAUGGGCGAAAGCCUGACGGAGCAACGCCGCGUGAGUGAUGAAGGUCUUCGGAUCGUAAAACUCUGUUAUUAGGGAAGAACAUAUGUGUAAGUAACUGUGCACAUCUUGACGGUACCUAAUCAGAAAGCCACGGCUAACUACGUG